rnacentral:rRNA from 1 species
ACCGGCGGCUCGAGUGGUGGCCACUAUUACUGGGCUUAAAGCGUUCGUAGCUGGCUUGUUAAAUCUCUGGGGAAAUCUUCCGGCUCAACCGGAAGGCGUCUCAGGGAUACUGGCAGGCUAGGGACCGGAAGAGGUGAGAGGUACUCCAGGGGGAGGAGUGAAAUCCUGUAAUCCCUGGGGGACCACCUGUGGCGAAGGCGUCUCACCCGGACCGCUUCCACAGUUAGGAACGAAAGCUUGGGGAGCAAACCG